AUUGAACGCUGGCGGCAGGCCUAACACAUGCAAGUCGAGCGGAUGAAGGGAGCUUGCUCCUGGAUUCAGCGGCGGACGGGUGAGUAAUGUCUAGGAAUCUGCCUGGUAGUGGGGGAUAACGUCCGGAAACGGGCGCUAAUACCGCAUACGUCCUGAGGGAGAAAGUGGGGGAUCUUCGGACCUCACGCUAUCAGAUGAGCCUAGGUCGGAUUAGCUAGUUGGUGGGGUAAAGGCCUACCAAGGCGACGAUCCGUAACUGGUCUGAGAGGAUGAUCAGUCACACUGGAACUGAGACACGGUCCAGACUCCUACGGGAGGCAGCAGUGGGGAAUAUUGGACAAUGGGCGAAAGCCUGAUCCAGCCAUGCCGCGUGUGUGAAGAAGGUCUUCGGAUUGUAAAGCACUUUAAGUUGGGAGGAAGGGCAGUAAGUUAAUACCUUGCUGAUUUGACGUUACCAACAGAAUAAGCACCGGCUAACUUCGUG
rnacentral:rRNA from 1 species